ACUUUUUGCUGCUCCUUGGAGCAGUCAGGCUGAGAUCCUCUGCAGUCCUCUGCGGUUAAGGAAGAUGGUGUGAAAAAGAAGCCACAGAGGGAGCACCUGUGCAACUAGCAGGAGGAAAUGUUGUUUUGGGAAUAGAAGAAUUAAUUGCUAGAUGUUAUGGCCGUGUGGAAAAUUAGGUCACCCUAAUUUUUCGUACUAUUUUAAGGGCAGGUAACUAAUCACAAAGCAGUAGUGUAAUAAGGUCAGAGCGUUUUUAUGGGGCUGUUAGACAAGUCACAGACACAGACACAAGUGGGAGAGCUCCCAGGAUGUGAGCUUAGCAAAGGAGCAGCUCAGCAAAAGUUUUGCUCAGUAUCCUACCAUAUCAACACUUUAUGCAUUUUCUGAUUAAUCAUAAAAUCUCAUCCAGCUGACUUCCAAAGCCAACUGGAUCAGGUAGCCCUCUGUUCCUUAGACACAGAGCCCCUCCCUGUCCUUCUCCAACAGAAAUUCUCCAGGAAAUGUCUGAUGUAAACCAUGCCAAGGUGCCACCAGGCUGGAUUUUUUGCUACAGUUUUAGUAUUUCUCUGGAUUUGACUUGUUCCUUACAAUGACAAUUAUUUUGGUUAUACAAAACAUCUGUCCUAUCUUUUCUCCUUGACAUGUAGAAGUUUGAACACUGCUGUAUUUUACUGGAUUAUUUUCUCCUUUUUUUUUUCUUUUCUUCUUUUUAAAUUCUGUUUUGACAGCCAAUCAAUUUUUUACCUCCCUUUGAAGAAGUUACUCAAAAGGAUAGGAACACAUGAGCUAACUUCAGGGAUGGUAAAGGAGAGGUAUUUUUAGAGUAAGGGGAACACAAAAAAGAACUGGUUUAUUUAUUGUAAAAAGUUGUGGAGGUCCUUAGCUUUGAGGCAGGCUGAUGGCAUGUCUGCCACACUCAUGACAGACACUUCAAAGUGCAGAGACAGUCUACAGCACUUCAAGGAAUUUCCCACUCUUCAAAUAAUGCUGCAGAAGAAACACUCAAGUACAAGGCAGCACAGCAUUGCAGAAAAUCCAGCACAUUAAUGCAGUACUUUUAGUAUCUUCUCAGUGGAAAGAAAAAUGGACAAAAUAAGAAAUUACUCAGCAGCCAUAGGGAACUGGUGUCUAGGUCUGGAACUAUAAUUAUACCCUAGGCUUAAAUUAUUUGCAUUUUUACUGCAAAGUAGAUUGUGGAUAAAAGGUUAAAGUCUAAAUCCAAAGUAACAGACCCUCUUCUUCAGGCUUUGAUCCAAGAAUCUGUGUUUGUGGCUGUGUAAGGACUGCAUAGUCAUUCCCAGACUACAUUGGAAAGGAAUGAGAAACAACAAAGCUCCUGAAAU
rnacentral:lncRNA from 1 species